ACCCGAUGCAAACUGCGAAUACCGGAGAAUGUUAUCACGGGAGACACACGGCGGGUGCUAACGUCCGUCGUGAAGAGGGAAACAACCCAGACCGCCAGCUAAGGUCCCAAAGUCAUGGUUAAGUGGGAAACGAUGUGGGAAGGCCCAGACAGCCAAGAUGUUGGCUUAGAAGCAGCCAUCAUUUAAAGAAAGCGUAAUAGCUCACUGGUCGAGUCGGCCUGCGCGGAAGAUGUAACGGGGCUAAACCAUGCACCGAAGCUGCGGCAGCGACGCUUAUGCGUUGUUGGGUAGGGGAGCGUUCUGUAAGCCUGCGAAGGUGUGCUGUGAGGCAUGCUGGAGGUAUCAGAAGUGCGAAUGCUGACAUAAGUAACGAUAAAGCGGGUGAAAAGCCCGCUCGCCGGAAGACCAAGGGUUCCUGUCCAACGUUAAUCGGGGCAGGGUGAGUCGACCCCUAAGGCGAGGCCGAAAGGCGUAGUCGAUGGGAAACAGGUUAAUAUUCCUGUACUUGGUGUUACUGCGAAGGGGGGACGGAGAAGGCUAUGUUGGCCGGGCGACGGUUGUCCCGGUUUAAGCGUGUAGGCUGGUUUUCCAGGCAAAUCCGGAAAAUCAAGGCUGAGGCGUGAUGACGAGGCACUACGGUGCUGAAGCAACAAAUGCCCUGCUUCCAGGAAAAGCCUCUAAGCAUCAGGUAACAUCAAAUCGUACCCCAAACCGACACAGGUGGUCAGGUAGAGAAUACCAAGGCGCUUGAGAGAACUCGGGUGAAGGAACUAGGCAAAAUGGUGCCGUAACUUCGGGAGAAGGCACGC
rnacentral:rRNA from 1 species